rnacentral:rRNA from 1 species
CAUGCAGUCGAACGAGGCCAUCCCUUCGGGGAGAAGCCUAGUGGCGAACGGCUGAGUAACGCGUAAGUAAUCUGCCCGAGAGAGGUGGACAACUCAGGGAAAUCUGAGCUAAUACAGUAUGAAAUCCAUACUUGAGAUAGUAUGGAUCAAAAGGUGCCGGGUAACUGGUUUCCGCUCUCGGAUGAGCUUGCGUCCUAUCAGGUUGUUGGUUGGGUAAUGGCCUACCAAGCCUAAGACGGGUAGCUGAUGUGCGAGCAUGAUCAGCCAGAGGGGGACUGAGACACGGCCCCCACUCCUACGGGAGGCAGCAGCAAGGAAUCUUCCACAAUGGGCGAAAGCCUGAUGGAGCGACACCGCGUGAGGGAUGACGGCUCUAGGGUUGUAAACCUCUUUUCUCAGGGAAGACAACGACGGUACCUGAGGAAUAAGUCACGGCUAACUACGUGCCAGCAGCCGCGGUAAUACGUAGGUGGCAAGCGUUGUCCGGAUUUACUGGGCGUAAAGGGUUCGUAGGCGGUACGGCAAGUCCUCUGUGAAAUCUUCCAGCUUAACUGGAAGGGGUCGGGGGAAACUGCCGAGCCAGAGGUUAGCAGAGGCGAGUGGAAUUCCCGGUGUAGUGGUGAAAUGCGUAGAUAUCGGGAGGAACUCCAGUGGCGAAGGCGACUCGCUGGGCUAAUUCUGACGCUGAGGGACGAAAGCGUGGGUAGCAAACCGGAUUAGAUACCCGGGUAGUCCACGCCCUAAACGAUGGAUGCUAGGUCUUUGGAGAUUUAACCCUUUGGGGGCCAUAGCUAACGCGAUAAGCAUCCCGCCUGAGGACUACGGCCGCAAGGCUAAACUCAAAGGAAUUGACGGUGCCCGCACAAGCAGCGGAGCGUGUG